AUGGACUACACCAACGCCAUCCAUAUCAUCCCGGACGCCGCCGGUCCCGAAAGCUGGGCCAACUCUGCGGCGCCUCCUGGCGGGGACUCCGGGAUUUGGGCCACCGAGGACGACUACAGCCAGUGGAACGGCGACCAGGGGCUUAGCGGGGGUGGCUAUGGCGGUGACAGGAACUCGUCGCAGCCGCAUUCAAGGGCCGGCAGCGAGCAGCCGCCGCCGGGCAAGAAGCCCCGGGGCAGUGGGCCGUCGGGCGGCGGCGACGCGGGGAGCACGAGCAAGUCGCGCGCGAUUGGGAAGAUGUUCUUCAAGACGAAGCUCUGCUGCAAGUUCCGGGCAGGGACGUGCCCGUAUGUGACAAACUGCAACUUCGCUCAUGGGAUGGAGGAGCUGCGCAAGCCGCCCCCCAACUGGCAGGAGAUCGUGGCAGCACACGAGGAGGCGACGGAACAGAGAGAGGAGCACCAGAUCCCGAUCAUGACUUCGUCCAACGUGGUGCCUGGUGACAGCGUGUCUGGCAGGGCGUACAAGGGGCGGCACUGCAAGAAGUUCUACACCGAGGAGGGAUGCCCCUAUGGCGACGCAUGCACUUUCUUGCAUGAUGAGCAGUCCAAGGCGCGUGAGAGCGUCGCGAUUAGCCUAUCGCCGUCGGUUGGCGGGGGCAGCUACAACUCUGCUACUGCUGCCGCUGCCUCUCCAAAUGGACCUACAAUUCUGAAGCCGUCGAAUUGGAAGACGAGGAUUUGUAACAAGUGGGAGAUGACUGGCUACUGCCCCUUCGGUAGCAAGUGCCACUUUGCUCAUGGAGCUGCUGAACUCCACAAGUAUGGUGGGGGACUUGUCGACAUUGACGGGAGGGACAUUGCAUCAACUCCGGAUUCGAAGCAGGCUACGGCAUCUUCGAAACUUCCUGUGGAGACUGCUGCUGCAUCCACUGCGGUGCCCCCUCAUGCAGACGUGUACCAUUUAGGCAGCCAGUCACAGCGUUCCGCCUUGGCUAGCCAAAGGUCCGGGCAGCUACAGAGGCCAAUCCAGAAAUGGAAAGGCCCCGACAAGAUCAGCAGGAUCUAUGGUGAUUGGAUAGACGAAACUGACUAG
rnacentral:rRNA from 1 species